rnacentral:lncRNA from 1 species
GCUGAGCAUCUUGCUUCAGACCUGGAACGCAUCCCGGUUGUGUCUGCUAGGUAGCAAAACUUUGUGAUGGACCUCUGUAGGGGCCUGUUCUUUCUACCAAACAUUUUCGAAGGAGCUGGGCACCGACACGGGACUGAAUGCAGUAACUGCACGUGCUGCUUGUGCCCUGCCGUUGCCUCGGGCUGGGGCGUGUGUGCAAACAAGAGAAGUUGCACUGCGCUUCAGCUUCGAAAAGCAGCUCAUUCUUCUGAGUCAUUGCUUACUACAACCUCAUUUUUGGCAUAGCGUCUCCACAUUCUCUACCUUUAAAGGUUUUUUUUUUUUUUUUUUUUUUUUUUUUUUUUCCGGACCCCCCGCUACUGUAAAAACCUCACUUGGAAAAAAAAAAAAUCAAGGGCUGGAAAAAGCAGCAGAUAGAGACACUUUUGCUGACUUUCCAAGACUGCCUAGGGAGUCAGCGGCCCGGACUAGGCAGAGAACCGAGGAUUUUGGUCCCCCUCMGUAAUAUGCAUUCCCCUGUGGUUUCACCAAGCAGCUACCCACAGUCCUCUCUGCCGUGGCUGGUGYCUGGAGGUCGAAGGGACAGAUAUAAAACUGAGAUUAGACAAAUUUCCCAUCGUUUUCCCUUGCUUGCCAGGUGACUUCGCAGCGUGCCCGGGUCAGGCUGGCYGGCUCCCACCUGCUGCAAGCGCCGCGUCGUCCUUCGCGAAGGGAAGAGCAACAUCUACCGCGUCGCGCGGAGAGCGUUUCCCGGAGCCUGYAACCUCCCGAGCUGGGUUUCGUUCCCUCCCCCUCCAGCCCAGCGCAGGAUCCCCUGGCGUAAAAACAUAACCGGUCACGCAAUGAGCACAUCAAAGCCGGGCGCUGCUGCAGCCGCGCAGAGGGGUGCUGGAGGGGGCUGAUGCCCGCUUGCCGGGCAGGAACGCGGGCGGCCGCGAGCGCCGGCRGGAAAGUGGGUCCAAGACCGUCGCAAGAAUUUCCUCUGAGCCCAUCGCUUCCUUCUGACAUUUUGGAGCCCAGAAACCCAUCCCGGAGCCCAGCGCCCUCAGCUCGCCGAGUGACGCAGGACCAAGCGGCUUGGAAGGAUUCCUCUCGGUCGGGGUUUUGCGCCCGGUUUCUUUGAAGCGCUGGACGCAGCGCRGCAGCCCGGGCCUGCGGGGACGGUGCAGAAGGGCCAGCACCAAACCCCAGCGGCAGGACCGCGAGGGGAUCCCCAGCUGCAGGGGCUGCUUCAGGUGCCAAGGGCUCUGCCGUCAUUUAGCCGGUACUAACCCGUGUUUUACAAGAGGGGAAACUGAGGCACUGACCAGGCAAGCAGCUCCACAGGUCCAUYGCAGAGUCCGAGACAGGGCCCAGGGGCUUUGGCUGUUAUUUUCAUGUGAGGGUGCUUAAAACUACCUACGCUUUCAAAAAGCAGGUGUGAAGGUGUCCUCACUUUCUGUUUUCUCCUGCUAAUCCCCAAGCCCUGCACAAGCCCAGCUGGACAAAUAUCCCUGGUCUCCGAGCACCGGGAUAACGUCAGGAUUCUCCUGGGGUCUCAGAGCCGCUUGUGCURUAGUGACAUUCAGUUAUUUGCAUUCAGUCCAAAAACUUGCAUUUAAGCUGAGRUCACAGUGAACGGGUCGUGGAGAUGUGAGCUGGGGUAGCUCAGAAAACCCCAGUUGUCCUGAAAAGAGAAAAAAAAGUUACAAGCACAUGACAGAGUCCUUUAGACUGCAGUGAGUUUGCCCUAACCCUGGUUGCAGCCAGGGCAAUUUUUUUCCCAGGGAGCUGUUAAUUUGGGCCCCUUUGCCCCAAAGCGGUGACCUCCAGCUUUCACCCCGGGGCCGUGUCCCCCCGGGCAGGGCCGUCCAUGCAGCCCCAGCCCCYGGGCCUGAGACAACCCAGCACUUGUAUCACGGGGGGAAAAAAAUACAGUCACCUUGGGAAGCGAAUGCUUCCCAUUUUUUGGCUCUCAGAGGUGUCAAAGGAAGCAAUCUGACGUCGAAGGGCCGGAAAAAAACAGCUUCUUGGCUGAUGUUGCUCAUGUUCAGCGAGGUCACUUAGAAAGCUAUCAGU